AUGGUUUGAAGUGAGUGAGGGGGCACGCUGGACUUUUAAUCCAGAAGCGCGGGUUCGAAUCCCGCCGAACCAUU
rnacentral:tRNA from 1 species